GAUGAACGCUGGCGGCGUGCCUAAUACAUGCAAGUCGAGCGAACGGACGAGAAGCUUGCUUCUCUGAUGUUAGCGGCGGACGGGUGAGUAACACGUGGAUAACCUACCUAUAAGACUGGGAUAACUUCGGGAAACCGGAGCUAAUACCGGAUAAUAUUUUGAACCGCAUGGUUCAAAAGUGAAAGACGGUCUUGCUGUCACUUAUAGGUGGAUCCGCGCUGCAUUAGCUAGUUGGUAAGGUAACGGCUUACCAAGGCAACGAUGCAUAGCCGACCUGAGAGGGUGAUCGGCCACACUGGAACUGAGACACGGUCCAGACUCCUACGGGAGGCAGCAGUAGGGAAUCUUCCGCAAUGGGCGAAAGCCUGACGGAGCAACGCCGCGUGAGUGAUGAAGGUCUUCGGAUCGUAAAACUCUGUUAUUAGGGAAGAACAUAUGUGUAAGUAACUGUGCACAUCUUGACGGUACCUAAUCAGAAAGCCACGGCUAACUACGUGCCAGCAGCCGCGGUAAUACGUAGGUGGCAAGCGUUAUCCGGAAUUAUUGGGCGUAAAGCGCGCGUAGGCGGUUUUUUAAGUCUGAUGUGAAAGCCCACGGCUGCUCCGUGGAGGGUCAUUGUAGACUGCUGAACUUGUUUGCAGAAGAGGAAAGUGGAAUUCCAUGUGUAGCGGUGAAAUGCGCAGAGAUAUGGAGGAACACCAGUGGCGAAGGCGACUUUCUGGUCUGUAACUGACGCUGAUGUGCGAAAGCGUGGGGAUCAAACAGGAUUAGAUACCCUGGUAGUCCACGCCGUAAACGAUGAGUGCUAAGUGUUAGGGGGUUUCCGCCCCUUAGUGCUGCAGCUAACGCAUUAAGCACUCCGCCUGGGGAGUACGACCGCAAGGUUGAAACUCAAAGGAAUUGACGGGGACCCGCACAAGCGGUGGAGCAUGUGGUUUAAUUCGAAGCAACGCGAAGAACCUUACCAAAUCUUGACAUCCUUUGACAACUCUAGAGAUAGAGCUUUCCCCUUCGGGGGACAAAGUGACAGGUGGUGCAUGGUUGUCGUCAGCUCGUGUCGUGAGAUGUUGGGUUAAGUCCCGCAACGAGCGCAACCCUUAAGCUUAGUUGCCAUCAUUAAGUUGGGCACUCUAAGUUGACUGCCGGUGACAAACCGGAGGAAGGUGGGGAUGACGUCAAAUCAUCAUGCCCCUUAUGAUUUGGGCUACACACGUGCUACAAUGGACAAUACAAAGGGCAGCGAAACCGCGAGGUCAAGCAAAUCCCAUAAAGUUGUUCUCAGUUCGGAUUGUAGUCUGCAACUCGACUACAUGAAGCUGGAAUCGCUAGUAAUCGUAGAUCAGCAUGCUACGGUGAAUACGUUCCCGGGUCU
rnacentral:rRNA from 1 species